rnacentral:lncRNA from 1 species
CUAAAUCAUAAAUUAAUUUCAAUAAUCAUAAAUUAAAUGAUCCAUAAUAAUCAUUGUUAUUUAGAUUUGGACAGGUACUUUAAUAAGUUCUAAGGUGUUUUUAACACUGGACUAGCAAUCUAACACUCUACAUAUAUUAUCAUCCUUCCAUAUUUUCUGCAAUUUGGGAGAAAAAUAACAGCUGUCACAAAUAUUUUGCACAGAGCUUGUAUAUCUCAUGAACAGUACCUUCAUGUGUUAAAGGAUUAGUUGC